CGAAUGCUGACAUAAGUAACGAUAAAGCGGGUGAAAAGCCCGCUCGCCGGAAGACCAAGGGUUCCUGUCCAACGUUAAUCGGGGCAGGGUGAGUCGACCCCUAAGGCGAGGCCGAAAGGCGUAGUCGAUGGGAAACAGGUUAAUAUUCCUGUACUUGGUGUUACUGCGAAGGGGGGACGGAGAAGGCUAUGUUGGCCGGGCGACGGUUGUCCCGGUUUAAGCGUGUAGGCUGGUUUUCCAGGCAAAUCCGGAAAAUCAAGGCUGAGGCGUGAUGACGAGGCACUACGGUGCUGAAGCAACAAAUGCCCUGCUUCCAGGAAAAGCCUCUAAGCAUCAGGUAACAUCAAAUCGUACCCCAAACCGACACAGGUGGUCAGGUAGAGAAUACCAAGGCGCUUGAGAGAACUCGGGUGAAGGAACUAGGCAAAAUGGUGCCGUAACUUCGGGAGAAGGCACGCUGAUAUGUAGGUGAAGCGACUUGCUCGUGGAGCUGAAAUCAGUCGAAGAUACCAGCUGGCUGCAACUGUUUAUUAAAAACACAGCACUGUGCAAACACGAAAGUGGACGUAUACGGUGUGACGCCUGCCCGGUGCCGGAAGGUUAAUUGAUGGGGUUAGCGGUAACGCGAAGCUCUUGAUCGAAGCCCCGGUAAACGGCGGCCGUAACUAUAACGGUCCUAAGGUAGCGAAAUUCCUUGUCGGGUAAGUUCCGACCUGCACGAAUGGCGUAAUGAUGGCCAGGCUGUCUCCACCCGAGACUCAGUGAAAUUGAACUCGCUGUGAAGAUGCAGUGUACCCGCGGCAAGACGGAAAGACCCCGUGAACCUUUACUAUAGCUUGACACUGAACAUUGAGCCUUGAUGUGUAGGAUAGGUGGGAGGCUUUGAAGUGUGGACGCCAGUCUGCAUGGAGCCGACCUUGAAAUACCACCCUUUAAUGUUUGAUGUUCUAACGUUGGCCCGUAAUCCGGGUUGCGGACAGUGUCUGGUGGGUAGUUUGACUGGGGCGGUCUCCUCCUAAAGAGUAACGGAGGAGCACGAAGGUUGGCUAAUCCUGGUCGGACAUCAGGAGGUUAGUGCAAUGGCAUAAGCCAGCUUGACUGCGAGCGUGACGGCGCGAGCAGGUGCGAAAGCAGGUCAUAGUGAUCCGGUGGUUCUGAAUGGAAGGGCCAUCGCUCAACGGAUAAAAGGUACUCCGGGGAUAACAGGCUGAUACCGCCCAAGAGUUCAUAUCGACGGCGGUGUUUGGCACCUCGAUGUCGGCUCAUCACAUCCUGGGGCUGAAGUAGGUCCCAAGGGUAUGGCUGUUCGCCAUUUAAAGUGGUACGCGAGCUGGGUUUAGAACGUCGUGAGACAGUUCGGUCCCUAUCUGCCGUGGGCGCUGGAGAACUGAGGGGGGCUGCUCCUAGUACGAGAGGACCGGAGUGGACGCAUCACUGGUGUUCGGGUUGUCAUGCCAAUGGCACUGCCCGGUAGCUAAAUGCGGA
rnacentral:rRNA from 1 species